UAAUGCUAACACAUAAAAAAAAAAUAAACUACUAUGUAGAUAACUAACUAUAUGCAGUACGACACUAAAAUGCCCCCAAACUUAAACUAGACAUUGUCCUCAAUGGCUACAAUAGAAAAAAUUAAAGUAGAGGACUUCCCUGAAAAUAUAGCAAUCUUGCUCCUUGUCCGCUAAGUUUGGAGAAUAGGCUAAGUACAUGGAACAAAUUGGGCACCACACUUGAAUUUGACUUGAAUAACCUGUAAAACCAUGAUAGA
rnacentral:lncRNA from 1 species